rnacentral:rRNA from 1 species
UACGUAGGGCGCAAGCGUUGUCCGGAAUUAUUGGGCGUAACGAGCUCGUAGGCGGUUUGUCGCGUCUGCUGUGAAAUCCCGAGGCUCAACCUCGGGCUUGCAGUGGGUACGGGCAGACUAGAGUGCGGUAGGGGAGACUGGAAUUCCUGGUGUAGCGGUGGAAUGCGCAGAUAUCAGGAGGAACACCGGUGGCGAAGGCGGGUCUCUGGGCCGAUACUGACGCUGAGACGCGAAAGCGUGGGGAGCGAACAGG